rnacentral:misc_RNA from 1 species
UCUCCGUUGGUGAACCAGCGGAGGGAUCAUUACCGAGUUUACAACUCCCAAACCCAAUGUGAACGUUACCAAACUGUUGCCUCGGCGGGGUCACGCCCCGGGUGCGUCGCAGCCCCGGAACCAGGCGCCCGCCGGAGGAACCAACCAAGCUCUUUCUGUAGUCCCCUCGCGGACGUUAUUUCUUACAGCUCUGAGCAAAAAUUCAAAAUGAAUCAAAACUUUCAACAACGGAUCUCUUGGUUCUG